GACGAACGCUGGCGGCGUGCUUAACACAUGCAAGUCGAACGGAAAGGCCCUGCUUUUUUGUGGUGCUCGAGUGGCGAACGGGUGAGUAACACGUGAGUAACCUGCCCUUGACUUUGGGGUAACUUCAGGAAACUGGGGCUACUACCGGAUAGGAUCUCCUGCUGCAUGGUGGGGGUUGGAAAGUUUCGGCGGUUGGGGAUGGACUCGCGGCUUAUCAGCUUGUUGGUGGGGUAGUGGCUUACCAAGGCUUUGACGGGUAGCCGGCCUGAGAGGGUGACCGGCCACAUUGGGACUGAGAUACGGCCCAGACUCCUAUGGGAGGCAGAAGUGGGGAAUAUUGCACAAUGGGCGGAAGCCUGAUGCAGCAACGCCGCGUGCGGGAUGACGGCCUUCGGGUUGUAAACCGCUUUCGCCUGUGACGAAGCGUGAGUGACGGUAAUGGGUAAAGAAGCACCGGCUAACUACGUG
rnacentral:rRNA from 1 species